CCUACGGGUGGCAGCAGUGGGGAAUAUUGCACAAUGGGCGCAAGCCUGAUGCAGCCAUGCCGCGUGUGUGAAGAAGGCCUUCGGGUUGUAAAGCACUUUCAGCGGGGAGGAAGGCGUUAAGGUUAAUAACCUUUGCGAUUGACGUUACCCGCAGAAGCAGCACCGGCUAACUCCGUGCCAGCAGCCGCGGUAAUACGGAGGGUGCAAGCGUUAAUCGGAAUUACUGGGCGUAAAGCGCACGCAGGCGGUCUGUCAAGUCGGAUGUGAAAUCCCCGGGCUCAACCUGGGAACUGCAUUCGAAACUGGCAGGCUAGAGUCUUGUAGAGGGGGGUAGAAUUCCAGGUGUAGCGGUGAAAUGCGUAGAGAUCUGGAGGAAUACCGGUGGCGAAGGCGGCCCCCUGGACAAAGACUGACGCUCAGGUGCGAAAGCGUGGGGAGCAAACAGGAUUAGAUACCCCGGUAGUC
rnacentral:rRNA from 1 species